GAUGAACGCUGGCUACAGGCUUAACACAUGCAAGUCGUGGGGAAACGGCAUUAUGUGCUUGCACAUUCUGGACGUCGACCGGCGCACGGGUGAGUAUCGCGUAUCCAACCUGCCCCUUACUUGGGGAUACCCCGUUGAAAGACGGCCUAAUACCCGAUGUGUUUCAUUGACGGCAUCCGAUAUGAAACAAAGGUUUUUCCGGUAAGGGAUGGGGAUGCGUCUGAUUAGCUUGUUGGCGGGGCAACGGCCCACCAAGGCGACGAUCAGUAGGGGUUCUGAGAGGAAGGUCCCCCACAUUGGAACUGAGACACGGUCCAAACUCCUACGGGAGGCAGCAGUGAGGAAUAUUGGUCAAUGGACGCAAGUCUGAACCAGCCAAGUAGCGUGCAGGAUGACGGCCCUAUGGGUUGUAAACUGCUUUUAUGUGGGAAUAAAUUGGCGCACGUGUGCGCCAUUGCAUGU
rnacentral:rRNA from 1 species